GUAGUCUCGCACAGAUGCAUUAUCAAUAAGCGGAGGAAAAGAAACUAACAAGGAUUCCCUCAGUAACGGCGAGUGAAGCGGGAAGAGCUCAAAUUUGAAAUCUUGAAAGGUCACCUUUCACGAAUUGUAGUUUAAAGAAGUGUUUUCUGUUACGAUCGUAAUAUAAGUUCUUUGGAAUAGGACAUCAUAGAGGGUGAGAAUCCCGUCUAUGAUUGCGAUUUGUAGCUUUGUGAUACACUUUCAAAGAGUCGGGUUGUUUGGGAAUGCAGCCCAAAACGGGAGGUAAAUUUCUUCUAAGGCUAAAUAUUGGCGAGAGACCGAUAGCGAACAAGUACCGUGAGGGAAAGAUGAAAAGAACUUUGAAAAGAGAGUUAAAUAGUACGUGAAAUUGUCAAAAGGGAAGCGUUUAACACCAGUGUUGUUUUCUGAAAAUCAACCUCUGUUAGCUUUAUGCAUGUUUGUUUAGACCUAAUCAGCUAUCUUGCAUGUUCUAUUGUUUGCAGUGGUGCACUUUUCAGUUUACAGGUCAACAUCAGUUUUUUUUACCGUAAAAAAGUUAAAGAAAGGUAGCUCAUGGCUCCGGUCGUGAGUGUUAUAGUCUUUUUCCUAUGCGGUAGGAGAGACUGAGGUCUGCAGUGUAGGCUAUUUGGCUAGAUACUCAGGUGCUAUGUGAUACCAUUUCAUAAACAACUUGUUGAUUAUGUUUUGUCUAUUGCAUACUCGCUUGUACUAUCAUACCUACGCUUAGGAUGUUGAGUCGUAGAGCACGCA
rnacentral:rRNA from 1 species